GAUGAACGCUGGCGGCGUGCCUAAUACAUGCAAGUCGAGCGAACGGUCGAGAAGUUUGCUUCUCUGAUGUUAGAGGCGGACGGGUGAGUCAUACGUGGAUAACCUACCUAUAAGACUGGGAUAAUUACGGGAAACCGGAGCUACUACCGGAAAAUAUUUUGAACUGCAUGGUUCAAAAGUGAAAGACGGUCUUGCUGUCACUUAUAGAUGGACCCGCGCUGCAUUAGCUAGUUGGUAAGGUAACGGCUUACCAAGGCAACGAUGCAUAGCCGACCUGAGAGGGUGAUCAGCCACACUGGAACUGAGACACGGUCCAGACUCCUACGGGAGGCAGCAGUAGGGAAUCUUCCGCAAUGGGCGAAAGCCUGACGGAGCAACGCCGCGUGAGUGAUGAAGGUCUUCGGAUCGUAAAACUCUGUAAUUAGGGAAGAACAUAUGUGUAAGUAACUGUGCACAUCUUGACGGUACCUAAUCAGAAAGCCACGGCUAACUACGUG
rnacentral:rRNA from 1 species